rnacentral:rRNA from 1 species
GAGUUUGAUCAUGGCUCAGAUUGAACGCUGGCGGCAUGCCUUACACAUGCAAGUCGAACGGCAGCAUGAUCUAGCUUGCUAGAUUGAUGGCGAGUGGCGAACGGGUGAGUAAUACAUCGGAACGUGCCCUGUAGUGGGGGAUAACUAGUCGAAAGAUUAGCUAAUACCGCAUACGACCUGAGGGUGAAAGUGGGGGACCGCAAGGCCUCAUGCUAUAGGAGCGGCCGAUGUCUGAUUAGCUAGUUGGUGGGGUAAAGGCCCACCAAGGCGACGAUCAGUAGCUGGUCUGAGAGGACGAUCAGCCACACUGGGACUGAGACACGGCCCAGACUCCUACGGGAGGCAGCAGUGGGGAAUUUUGGACAAUGGGCGAAAGCCUGAUCCAGCAAUGCCGCGUGUGUGAAGAAGGCCUCGG